ACGAACAUACCCGUUUUCCUUCAACUUUCGAAAACCCUAUUUUCCGCCUUCGAGGGUCCCUCCGCCGUCACCCAAACAAGCGACCGCCGCACUCGCCUCUCACCCCGAACCUCCACCGUUUCCGCCACCGCACUCCUCAUCUCAACAAUCUCAACCGUGCCGCUAUUCCCAAAAUUUUUGGUGUGUACUGUAUUCUUGAUUUCUUGAUUUUU
rnacentral:lncRNA from 1 species